rnacentral:ncRNA from 1 species
UAUAAGACAAGCGCCAGAACUUUAUUUUUAAUAAAGUUGACGAGGACUGAGAUAUUCGAAAAUUCGGCGGGUUUCUCAGAGGUGGUUACAACCGUUGCUAGUAAAGAUAGAAGGUGACUUCUAUUACAAAGGAGCAA